AUUGAACGCUGGCGGCAUGCCUUACACAUGCAAGUCGAACGGCAGCACGGGGCAACCUGGUGGCGAGUGGCGAACGGGUGAGUAAUGCAUCGGAACGUACCUUUCAGUGGGGGAUAACGUAGCGAAAGUUACGCUAAUACCGCAUAUUCUGUGAGCAGGAAAGCAGGGGAUCGCAAGACCUUGCGCUGAUUGAGCGGCCGAUGUCAGAUUAGCUAGUUGGUGAGGUAAAGGCUCACCAAGGCGACGAUCUGUAGCGGGUGUGAGAGGAUGAUCCUCCACACUGAAACUGAGACACGGUCCAGACUCUUACGGCGGGCAGCAGUGGGGAAUUUUGGACAAUGGGGGCAACCCACAUCCAGCCAUGCCGCGUGCGUGAACAAGGCCUUCGGGUUGUAGAGCUCUUUCGGCCGGGAAGACAUCGCCCGGGCUAAUACCCUGUGUGGAUGACGGUACCGGAAUAAGAAGCACCGGCUAACUACGUGCCAGCAGCCGCAGUAACAC
rnacentral:rRNA from 1 species